rnacentral:rRNA from 1 species
CGCGGUAAUACUGGCAGAGCGAGUGGUGUCCACGAAUAUUGGGUCUAAAGAGUCCGUAGCUGGUCUGUUAAGUCCACUGUGAAAUCCGGCGGCUCAACCGCAGGGCGUGCAGUGGAUACUGGCAGGCUUGGGAGCGGGGGAGGUUGGGAGUACUUACGGGGUAAGAGUAAAAUCUGUUGAUCCUGUUAGGACUACCAGUGGCGAAGGCGCCCAACCAAAACGCGUCCGACAGUGAGGGACGAAGGCUAGGAGAACGAAUCGGAUUAGAUACCCGAGUAGCCCUAGCAGUAAAUUAUGCAGACUGUGGUGUUGCGCCGACUUCGAGUCGGCGCAGUGCUGUAGCGUAGGUGUUAAGUCUGCCACCUGGGGAGUACGGCCGCAAGGUUGAAACUUAAAGGAAUUGGCGGGGGAGCAC